CCAAAAGCCGCUUCUUCGCGCUCAGAACAAAGAAAAACGGCUGCAGUUUUCUCGACAGCAUGCGCAACGUUCAACUGAGGAGUGGAAGCAAGUCGUCUUCACAGACGAGUGCACGUUCACUACAUCGUGCGAUCAGCAAGCCCGUAUUUGGCGCCCUGACAACACCCGGUACCAGCCAAAGUUCUCACAAAGAGUCUCGAAAAG
rnacentral:lncRNA from 1 species